AUUGAACGCUGGCGGCAUGCCUUACACAUGCAAGUCGAACGGCAGCACGGGAGCAAUCCUGGUGGCGAGUGGCGAACGGGUGAGUAAUAUAUCGGAACGUGCCCGGUCGUGGGGAUAACGUAGCGAAAGCUACGCUAAUACCGCAUACGAUCUACGGAUGAAAGCGGGGGAUCGCAAGACCUCGCGCGAUUGGAGCGGCCGAUAUCAGAUUAGCUAGUUGGUGAGGUAAUGGCUCACCAAGGCGACGAUCGUUAGCUGGUCUGAGAGGACGAUCAGCCACACUGGGACUGAGACACGGCCCCAGGACUCCUACGGGAGGCAGCAGUGGGGAAUAUUGGACAAAUGGGCGCAAGGCCUGAUCCAGCCAUACCGCGUGGGUGAAGAAGG
rnacentral:rRNA from 1 species